AUUAUACCGUGAAACUGCGAAUGGCUCAUUAAAUCAGUUAUCGUUUAUUUGAUAAUACCUUACUACUUGGAUAACCGUGGUAAUUCUAGAGCUAAUACAUGCUGAAAAUCCCGACUUCGGAAGGGAUGUGUUUAUUAGAUAAAAAACCAAUGCCCUUCGGGGCUUUUUGGUGAUUCAUGAUAACUUUACGGAUCGCAUAGCCUUGCGCUGGCGACGGUUCAUUCAAAUUUCUGCCCUAUCAACUUUCGAUGGUAAGGUAUUGGCUUACCAUGGUUUCAACGGGUAACGGGGAAUUAGGGUUCGAUUCCGGAGAGGGAGCCUGAGAAACGGCUACCACAUCCAAGGAAGGCAGCAGGCGCGCAAAUUACCCAAUCCCGACACGGGGAGGUAGUGACAAUAAAUACUGAUACAGGGCUCUUUUGGGUCUUGUAAUUGGAAUGAGUACAAUUUAAACCUCUUAACGAGGAACAAUUGGAGGGCAAGUCUGGUGCCAGCAGCCGCGGUAAUUCCAGCUCCAAUAGCGUAUAUUAAAGUUGUUGCAGUUAAAAAGCUCGUAGUUGAAACUUGGGCCUGGCUGGCGGGUCCGCCUCACCGCGUGCACUCGUCCGGCCGGGCCUUCCUUCUGAAGAACCUCAUGCCCUUCACUGGGCGUGCUGGGGAAUCAGGACUUUUACUUUGAAAAAAUUAGAGUGUUCAAAGCAGGCCUUUGCUCGAAUACGUUAGCAUGGAAUAAUAAAAUAGGGCGUGCGUUUCUAUUUUGUUGGUUUCUAGAGACGCCGCAAUGAUUAACAGGAACAGUCGGGGGCAUCAGUAUUCAGUUGUCAGAGGUGAAAUUCUUGGAUUUACUGAAGACUAACUACUGCGAAAGCAUUUGCCAAGGAUGUUUUCAUUAAUCAGUGAACGAAAGUUAGGGGAUCGAAGACGAUCAGAUACCGUCGUAGUCUUAACCGUAAACUAUGCCGACUAGGGAUCGGGCGAUGUUCUUUUUCUGACUCGCUCGGCACCUUACGAGAAAUCAAAGUUUUU
rnacentral:rRNA from 1 species